rnacentral:rRNA from 1 species
UGGGGAAUAUUGGACAAUGGGCGAAAGCCUGAUCCAGCCAUGCCGCGUGUGUGAAGAAGGUCUUCGGAUUGUAAAGCACUUUAAGUUGGGAGGAAGGGCAGUAAGCUAAUACCUUGCUGUUUUGACGUUACCGACAGAAUAAGCACCGGCUAACUCUGUGUCAGCAGCCGCGGUAAUACAGAGGGUGCAAGCGUUAAUCGGAAUUACUGGGCGUAAAGCGCGCGUAGGUGGUUCGUUAAGUUGUAUGUGAAAGCCCCGGGCUCAACCUGGGAACUGCAUCCAAAACUGGCGAGCUAGAGUAGGGCAGAGGGUGGUGGAAUUUCCUGUGUAGCGGUGAAAUGCGUAGAUAUAGGAAGGAACACCAGUGGCGAAGGCGACCACCUGGGCUCAUACUGACUCUGAGGUGCGAAAGCGUGGGGAGCAAACAGG